GAUGGCUCUAGGGCUUACAAUAUAUUAGGUUGAUGCAAAAGUAAUUGCAGUUUUUGCCAUGAAAAGUAAUGGGAAAAACCACAAUUCUUUUGCACCAACCUAAUACAUCUUAAUUUAUCAGACU
rnacentral:miRNA from 10 species